rnacentral:rRNA from 1 species
UACGUAGGGUGCAAGCGUUAAUCGGAAUUACUGGGCGUAAAGCGUGCGCAGGCGGUGAUGUAAGACAGAUGUGAAAUCCCCGGGCUCAACCUGGGAACUGCAUUUGUGACUGCAUCGCUGGAGUACGGCAGAGGGGGAUGGAAUUCCGCGCGUAGCAGUGAAAUGCGUAGAUAUGCGGAGGAACACCGAUGGCGAAGGCAAUCCCCUGGGCCUGUACUGACGCUCAUGCACGAAAGCGUGGGGAGCAAACAGG